rnacentral:rRNA from 1 species
GCUGGAAUUGCUAGUAAUGGCAGGUCAGCAUACUGCCGUGAAUACGUUCCCGGGCCCUUGUACACACCGCCCGUCACACCAUGAGAGUUGGAAAUACCCGAAGCCUGUGAGCUAACUGUAAAGAGGCAGCAGUCGAAGGUAGAGCCAAUGAUUGGGGUGAAGUCGUAACAAGGUAUC